UACGAAGGGGGCUAGCGUUGCUCGGAAUCACUGGGCGUAAAGGGUGCGUAGGCGGGUCUUUAAGUCAGGGGUGAAAUCCUGGAGCUCAACUCCAGAACUGCCUUUGAUACUGAGGAUCUUGAGUUCGGGAGAGGUGAGUGGAACUGCGAGUGUAGAGGUGAAAUUCGUAGAUAUUCGCAAGAACACCAGUGGCGAAGGCGAGUCCCUGGACAACUUCUGACGCUGAGGCACGAAAGCUAGGGGAGCAAACAGG
rnacentral:rRNA from 1 species